rnacentral:tRNA from 1 species
GGAGGGGUGGGCGAGCGGCCAAAACCGCCGGUUUGGAGUACCGGUGAACCGAGAGGUUCCGUGGGUUCAAAUCCCACCCCCUCCGCCA